rnacentral:rRNA from 1 species
UUACAGAUGCAAGCCGAAACGCUGGUGACCGAGAAGAACAGUACUGCGAAUGGCAUCAUCAAGCUCAUCGAACAGAAUCACAUCACAAACCUUGUCAUGGGAACAUCCUUAUUCUCACCUGACAUCCAGACCAAAUACACCUUCGUAAUGAGGAAGAGAAAAGCACCAAAUUCAAGAGUUGCAGCAAUUGUGCAUCAACAAGCCAAACCAUAUUGCCAGAUCUUCUACAUUUGCUACGAGACUCUUGCUUGCUCUAGGGAGGCCACUCUAUGUUUGACAAAAGUAGAGUCAGCGCAAAGCAACUACACGAGCAAUGAUUCAGACAGAUCCGAGUUCCCUGCAAGAUCCCAAUCACUAUCACCAGGGCAUACGGGUUUCUUCGGCUCUACAGAUCAGCAAGCCCUUGAACGACGAUCCAAGCAGAUAGUUAGCUAUACAUAUCCUCUGUUAGCAACGAUAACAAACAGCAAGGACAACAUAUCAGGUGCAAAGGGACAGUCAAUUCAUACGACGACGACAGAGUUCUCCCUGAAUCCCAGCCAGCAAAGCUUUGGAGGACCUUCACCAGCUCUCAAGGAUUUCAACAGCAUGAAUGGUUCAUUGAUGCCUGUUUCAGUUGCAAGCUCUAAAGAACAUCAACACUCUAUGGUAAGCCAUUUUGGACCGAGCAGGUUU